rnacentral:rRNA from 1 species
GACGAACGCUGGCGGCGUGCUUAACACAUGCAAGUCGAACGGAAAGGCCCUGCUUGCAGGGUACUCGAGUGGGCAACGGGCGAGUAACUCGUGGGUGAUCUGCCCUGCACUUCGGGAUAAGCCUGGGCAACUGGGUCUAAUACCGGAUGGAGCAUAUUUUAGUGGGGUGGAUGGAAAGUUUUUUCGGUGUUGGAGGAGCUCGCGGCGUAACGGCUUGUUGGGGGGGUAAUGGCGUACCAAGGCGGCCACGGGUAGGCGGCCUGUGAGGGUGGACGGCCGCAUUGAGUCUGACGGACGGCCCAGACUGCUACGGUAGGCAGCAGUGCGGAAUAUUGCACAAUGGGCGCAAGGCGGAUGCAGCGGGGCCGCGUGUUGUAUAACGGCCUUCUGGUUGUAGACUACUUUCGCUAGGGACGAAGCUUUUUGUGACGGUACCUAAAUAAGAAGCACCGGCUAACUACGUG